UACGAAGGGGGCUAGCGUUGUUCGGAAUUACUGGGCGUAAAGCGCACGUAGGCGGAUCGAUCAGUUAGGGGUGAAAUCCCAGGGCUUAACCCUGGAACUGCCUUUGAUACUGUCGAUCUAGAGUCCGGAAGAGGUGAGUGGAAUUCCGAGUGUAGAGGUGAAAUUCGUAGAUAUUCGGAGGAACACCAGUGGCGAAGGCGGCUCACUGGUCCGGUACUGACGCUGAGGUGCGAAAGCGUGGGGAGCAAACAGG
rnacentral:rRNA from 1 species